rnacentral:rRNA from 1 species
UACGAAGGGGGCUAGCGUUGCUCGGAAUCACUGGGCGUAAAGCGCACGUAGGCGGAUUGCUAAGUCAGGGGUGAAAUCCUGGAGCUCAACUCCAGAACUGCCCUUGAUACUGGCGGUCUCGAGUCCGUGAGAGGUGAGUGGAACUGCGAGUGUAGAGGUGAAAUUCGCAGAUAUCAGGAGGAACACCGGUGGCGAAGGCGGUUCUCUGGGCAUUACCUGACGCUGAGGAGCGAAAGUGUGGGGAGCGAACAGG